UCGCCUGUUUAUCAAAAACAUAGUUUUAUGGUUAUAUAUAAAAUAUUUUCUGCCCAGUGUCAAUAGAUAAAUGGCCGCAGUACCUUGACUGUGCUAAGGUAGCAUAAUCAAUUGGCUUUUAAUUGAAGUCUAGAAUGAAUGGGAUAAUGGAAUUUAGCUGUCUUGAUUUUUUUAAUAAAAAUUUAUUUAUAAGGUGAAAAUACCUUAAAUUAUAAUAAAGACGAGAAGACCCUAUGAAUUUUCAAUUUUUUUUUGUUGGGGCGACAGUUUAAAAUAUAAUCUUAAAUUUUUAACUAUAUAACGAUUUUUUUAAUAAAAAUUAAAUUACCUUAGGGAUAACAGCAUUAUUAUUUAAAUAGUUUGUGACCUCGAUGUUGGACUAGGAACUAAAAGGCUAACCGUCUUUAUAGAUUUGUUCUGUUCGAACAAUUUUAUCCUACGUGAUCUGAGUUCAGACCGGA
rnacentral:rRNA from 1 species